CAACGAAUAAUUGGUAUAUCCACUGAAGAAGAGCUUGUAAACGAGACACGCAUCAUAAAUAUCACAGUAACCACAACAAAUAACGCAAAGUAUUCGUUAAAAGAUACAUUCUACCUAAAGGUGAAAUUGGCUGCAUAUGGAGAUACCAGUACAUUUUGGUUACACACUUUUAGCCAGGUUUUAACGGUAUUUGUUCGAGAUGAUGAAAACUACUGGCAAAGAAAUUAUUGUUAUGCAAACAAUGAUCCGAGAAUGCGAACGUUUGAUGGACAGUACUAUAAUCAUAUGCUAACUGGAUUGUUUGCAUUAAUGAGGCAUAAGCUGUUGCCGGUUGAGAU